UACGUAGGGUGCAAGCGUUGUCCGGAAUUAUUGGGCGUAAAGAGCUUGUAGGCGGUUUGUCGCGUCUGCUGUGAAAUUUCGGGGCUCAACCCCGAACUUGCAGUGGGUACGGGCAGACUAGAGUGUGGUAGGGGAGACUGGAAUUCCUGGUGUAGCGGUGAAAUGCGCAGAUAUCAGGAGGAACACCGGUGGCGAAGGCGGCAUCCUGGACCAACACUGACGCUGAGGAGCGAAAGCCAGGGGAGCAAACGGG
rnacentral:rRNA from 1 species